rnacentral:tRNA from 1 species
GUCUUUGUCGUCUAAUGGUAGGACAGCUGAUUUUCGUUCAGCUAAUAGCGGUUCGAUUCCGCUCAAAGACU